GAGUUUCUUCAACUCUUUUUUUUCUUUUAAAGAUUUGUCUCCAACUGCAUGCCAGAGUAACGGAGAGACUUUGACAGCCCAGGUCAUCACAGUGCCUGCUGUUGCCACUCAGCUCUCCUAUGUUU
ensembl:snoRNA LOC120100372 small nucleolar RNA SNORA44